CCCCGAAUCGCGGUGCGUAUUUUCUUCACAUUAUCUAUCGAAUGUUAUUCCUCCUGCAAUGUGAAAGUGAUAUUUAUCACCAUGAAAAACAUCUAAACGUUUAACCAUUUCGCUGAUUUACAUCGCUUUCCGGUAUCAAGUAUAAUACGCCAACACUGCGUGCCUACUAACUUUCAGACGGAUUGUACAGCAAAUUAAGUACCACUCCAACAUUUACCAGUAAGUAGCGGACCUGCAGAAUGGAUAAUCUGCAUCGUUAAACUGAAAACAAAGCAAUAUGUUGAUAAAUGGUAUUUCCGUCUAAAAAAAUAUUACAAGAAUUAUGUUUCAAACUAUGUUAGUUUAUUAUAUCAAACAUAAAUACAUAAAUGUUUUAGAUAUGUUGUAUAAUCACAUGUGUUUGUAUUACUGACAUGAUAAAUUUAUUUAUAAAAUGCCUUAUUAAAAGCUAAUAGCUCCCAAGAUUUCGAAUAUAAAAUAUUUCUAUACACAUUCAUGUAGUAUCGAACUAUUGCCAGAAUAUCAUUAAAUUUAAACUGUUGUAAUUUAGUUCGCAUUUAUGGUGCGAAUCUUAAAUUUACCACAGGGAGCGUGACGUAACCUUAUACCACUGUAGAAAAAAAUUCGAAUAUAGGCAUAAACAGGAAACACUAGCAGAACUUUCACAAAUGGAUCGAAGUGAAAAUCUACACCAAACUAUCACCUAAAGUAAUCAGUAGUAAUACUGCUUACUAAGCUUCGCGAUGAAAGAAAUAACAAUAAGAGUUGAAUAAACGAACGCUGAUUUCUAUUGCACAAAAAAAGCUUCGAUGAGAAUAGAUUAAAUUUUUCUUUUCAGAUUUAUUUAUUUUUCAAACAGCAAUUAGAGCUUAUAUGUAUAUUAUUUUGUGCUAAAUGUUGUCUAUUGUCAUAAAACUAAUAAACCGAGAGUUAAUUUCAA
rnacentral:lncRNA from 1 species